CGUUAAAAUUUUAUCCAUUUGUACGGUUAAAAUUUAACGUGAUUAACAAAAUAACUAAACAACGAUACGUGACAUGUCGCAUGUACCUCAUGUUGACGUACAUAGACUAGUUUUUAAUAGCAAAAAUGAAUGAAAUUUUUAAUA
rnacentral:pre_miRNA from 1 species